CUUGGAGUGUGUUAUUUCAAACGGAGGAAGAUUAGACAUCUAAUCUCAGGAAACAUAAAAGAAACACUCUCUCACCAGGAAGAUGUGUAGCUUAGAGAACAAACCCUAGAGAGUCUGAAGUCAGAUGACUCCAAAGAGUAGAAGGUGAGCCAGCAGAGCUUUGAUCAAAUGUUCUCUGACUGACUGAGAUCAACUCUGUUCUGUUUUUACAGAUUUACUAAAUGUUUGAUUUAAACUAAAUCUCUUUUCUCCUCAGGGUGAGACGGUUCAAAUUGAACUCCUGCAGAGUGAAUCAUCUCCAGGAUCCUGUUCUGGUCCAGCUGCUGGAUCCUGACACACUGUUGAUAUCUGUUUAUAUGUAUAUAUGUGUUUAUAUGUAUAUAUGUGUAUAUGUGUUUAUAUUUAUAUCUGGUCCAGUUUUGUUUUUGAGACGAUGAUUGAACACAAACACUUUCAUCAGCGCUCCAUCGGCUCUCUCACCAUCAAGUUUAAAUCUUUUAGAAAUUAAAGAUUGUCCCUUUCAUUUCUUGGGUCGGCUGUGGAUCAGUGGUGGUCGGUCGUCUCCCAAGUGAAAGGUCGGGGGUUCGAUCCCCCAGCUCCUGCAGCAACAUGUUGAUGUUUCUUUUGGACAAAACAUUUAACCCCAAAUAACUCCCUCUGCUGCAUCAUCAGGGUGUGAAUGUGUAUAGAUGAGUGUGAGCUGAGAUGAGUUCAGAUGUUUUUAUUAUGAUUUUUAUUAUUUUUUUUAUUGUUCCUUGUACAGUUUUUCACUUUAUACAACUAGUUAUG